GGAAGGAAAAUUCCCCACUAGUCUCGAACUCGCGAUGCCCCUCCGCCGCCGUCUCCGGCGGGGCGGACUCCGCCGCUCCCUCACAACGACCACCCCGCACCCCCCGUUGGCCAUGAUCAACCGCAAAGCGAAGGUCGUCAGAUCUCCGUGCGCGCACGUGCUCCUCGCCAAGCCACCGCGCGUCUCCCAACUAUAUCUCCGAGUGAUGUGGUGCAAUUGCUCGCUGGAGCCGUCUGCACCUGGAUCGGCGACUGCCUCCCCCUCCUCGCCCACAGAGACCUGCACUUCACGGCUCCCGUCAUCACCAAGCAGGCGACGCUCUGCUGCGGCAGCGACCCACCGGCGACGACCCCGACCAAGACCCAGAUGUCACGCGCUUCGUCUUCAACCCUCUCACCCGCCAGCUCUCCCGCGUCCCGGACGUCGAUAUCUGCAACUCUGUGAGCGACGGCUCUUGCGGCCUCGACCACAUGUGCAUCCUAUCGCGGGCAGUGCCCGCCUGGCAGGUUCGCCGUCGCCGGGCUGCUAGGGAACCAGAUGCUCUAGAAGAGGAAUGCGAAAUUGUGCCGGUCUCUCCGUGCCAUCCCUCACUUGCGCGGCGCGUGGAGAUAGGCCAGGGGAGGCAUUGGCAUUCUCAAGAGGGGAAGAACACACAGAUCUAUCUAACGCCAAUGUCGUGUACCUCAUGGUGACGGGCAAGUCGUUGUUGUACCUCGUGGAGAGGGAGGAGGUGAAUGAGAGUUAUCUCUGUAGAAGUGACACCUUGUGUAGUACACAAUGUGUUCUUCCGUCGUGGCUUGGAUUGAGCCGGAUCCCUUCUCCAGGGAAGAAGUACAUUGAGAAAAAACAUGACUUCAGCAGAUGCUCUAGUUUGUUCAGACAGACACUAGAAUGUCCAAUCUUACUUUCCUUUAGCUGAUGCUUGAUUAUUGAUUUUCAUAUGUAUCUCAUCCAGUGAUACGACAUUCUUCGUACAAGUAUGUUUUAGUCAAUCCCUCCAGUUUAUAGAUUGGAAAAACACUGAUGUGCGUAUUUCGCCGAUUACUACUACCAUUUUGAAUAGAGUUUCAAUGUAUCACCAUUCACCAAACAUAUUGUUAUACUUAAUAUCGUUUGCUGCUGGUUUGAGUCUAGUAUGAUAUUCACUCUGAAAAACCUGAACUUGUUCUUCCGUUAAUAUUCUUGCAGCAUCUUGCCAUGGUACCAGAAUUGUCAGUUGGUGUGUCAGCAUGGACCUAUCAUCCUACCAUCCUCAUUACAAGGCAAGAUAUGCUCAAUGCCUGCUAGUUCAGAAACACAUGAGGAUGAUAGGUCCAUGCUGACUCAAAAACAUAUCUACAGUAGUGUCAAUUAACUAGCAUAUCAACUUUGUAGUCCAACACGCAUCUGUAUACCACCAGAUGACUCAAAAAAUUACUAAUAGCCUUAGUUAGUAAAAAUCUGUACUCUGAUUGGUGAUAAUUUGGGUGGCAAAUAGAGUUCUAUGGACAAAAGAGCCUUGGUUCUGUCUUUAUAUAGGAAGGCAAAGGAAAAUAGUUGGUGAAUUGUUUGAGAAAAUGUUGGUGCAUCGAUCUAGUGGCACUUACAUUCCCUUGUUUUUGUGUGUUACAAAUGGUACAAGUACUUGAGGGUGGGACCUCAAGUUUCAUUCCCAAAUCUUCCUUGACUAAAUUUCAGCCCCUUGUCAUAUUUCUACAUGUUAUCCUGGUCAUAAAGAGUUCUUAAAACAAAUCUACAUUAGUAUCAAUUAUUUUGGCUUUUGAACAUAAGUUUUGCAAGUUGUGUGGGGAUAUAUAUUCAGAAGAGAUAUCUGAUAGGCCUUGGCCAAUGGCUUUGGCCUAAACAACAUGACCUGUGACUUAUUUUCUGCCCGCAAAUUAGCAUCCUCCUCCUUUGGUACCUUGUUGCAAGCAAGAAAUUCUGACCACCCUACCACUGAGCUACUGAUUAGAGUUUUCUGCUGUUUAUGAAUCUACAAUUUACACUGCAUGUUCUACAUUUAAUUUCCGUUUGUCGAUAAUUUGUUUUAGAAUAAUUUAAAGAUGUUGUAUCCAUUUUAAUGACACCUCUAGUGUCAUCUUCAAAAUAAAUUUAUUCAUCAAAUUAUCACUUUGUUAGGGCUUAUGGGCACACUCAGAUUAAUUCUUGAUAACCUGCUCUUAGUACCAUAUUUUUCUAGCUCAAUUUCUUGUAUCCAAUGAAGCAUCCUUUAUAAAAAAAAUACAUCUAUAUAUUAUACUGUAUCGUGUUAGUGUUGUUGCUGUUGUUCAAAUUCCUGUGCGUUGAUCAAAUGGACCUUUUUCAGGGAAGAAGUACAUUGAGGAAAACAAGACUUUGGCAGAUGCUCUGGUUUGUUCAGACAGCCAUUAGAAGAGAUGGAGACCAGAGCGGCAGCAUCUGUAAGUCUGUAAGUGAUGGUGGUAGCUAACUGGUGCUGUGGGAAUCUGUAGAAGCCUGCGAUUUUGUAGCCGCUGACCAAGUCGCUGUAUCACAUUUCGGACGAAACGUGUGAAUUUUAUCAGACUUUCUGUUCGCAGUAUGUGCUGUAAACACAUGUAAGACAAUUCGUUCCUAGCAAAAUCGACGCUUCCACCAUGAUUACUCUAAUUAGAUAUCGUAUUUAGGGAUCUCUCCUUUUGUCACAGGUGGUGAACUGACUAUUCCAACUGAUCGGUAUUAAUUGCUUUAAUCUACAGACAUUGCUCUUGCUAAGUGAGAAGGAAGAGGUCAGGUUGCUAUUUCUGACUCGGUGACUCUGAAUUCAGUACUCUGGCUAUUUUCGAAAUGUGCAACUUUACCAACCUUGGCUGUUGUUGUUUAGCGCUGUGCUGCAGUUUAGACGUAUUCAAUACCAUUUUAACGAUAUAAUUGCUGGAACUUUUUUAUACGUAGAUGAUAACUGCUGUAGUUAAAGUCUUAAGCACGGAAGGAGAAAGAAAGUGUUUUUGAAGCUUGAAUGGGUCUGCUAGACAGGGCUACAUAGCAUUGCAGAUGGCCUCGGGUUAGAGCAUCUCUAGCAAUCCCAUAUCUCCAUAUCGGCCCCCAUAUAGCAGUUUGGGUUGAUAUGUGGGUUUAGGCUGUUUUUUUGGACAGGCCAGACCACCGAUGCGGAUAUGUUUUCCAAGCCGCAACCCAAAACCGCUCUCGGUCGCUAUAUAUACUGUUUGGCCGAUCUCGGUCGCUAUAUAUCUUGUUUGGCGACGCGGAUGCAGGUCAAACCACAUCCGCCUCGCCGCCUCUUCCAUUUCUGCUGACGAAAAAUCCGCCACUCUCCGGCGAGCAAUCCCCUUCCUCCUGCGCACGUUCGAGCCAUGGUGGCCGGUGGAGGUU